rnacentral:rRNA from 1 species
GCCAUCGGCCAUGCCAUGCUGAAUACACUGGUUCUCAUUGAUUUCCACAGCUAAGCAGCAUUGGGCUUAGUUCCUGGGAGGGAGACCACCUGGGAACACCAAGUGCCAGUGGUA